rfam:Picea glauca, whole genome shotgun sequence.
GGAUCCAUGGUAUAGUGGUCAAUACAUUGGACUUUGAAUCCAAUAGCUCGAGUUGUAAUCUCGAUGGAACCU